rnacentral:rRNA from 1 species
GUGCCAGCCGCCGCGGUAAUACAGAGGUCUCAAGCGUUAAUCGGAAUUACUGGGCUUAAAGGGUCCGCAGGCGGUCUGACAAGUACCUUGUGAAAUAUCAGGUCUCAACCCUGAAACUGCUCGGUAGACUGUCAGACUUGAGUGCAAAAGGGGUCGCUGGAACUCUAGGUGGAGCGGUGAAAUGCGUAGAUAUCUAGAGGAACGCCAAAGGUGAAGACAGGCGACUGGUUUGCAACUGACGCUCAUGGACGAAAGCGUGGGGAUCAAACGGGAUUAGAUACCCUCGUAGUCC